UGGCGGCAUGCCUAACACAUGCAAGUCGAACGGUAACGGACCGCUGGGAUUCCUUCGGGAUGACCUUGGUGCCGACGAGUGGCGGACGGGUGAGUAAUACUUAGGAAUCUGCCCAGUAUGGGGGACAACAUUCGGAAACGGAUGCUAAUACCGCAUACGCACUACGGUGGAAAGUGGGGGAUCUUCGGACCUCACGCUAUUGGAUGAGCCUAAGUCGGAUUAGCUUGUUGGUGAGGUAAUGGCUCACCAAGGCGACGAUCCGUAGCUGGUCUGAGAGGACGAUCAGCCACACUGGGACUGAGACACGGCCCAGACUCCUACGGGAGGCAGCAGUGGGGAAUAUUGGACAAUGGGCGCAAGCCUGAUCCAGCAAUGCCGCGUGUGUGAAGAAGGCCUGCGGGUUGUAAAGCACUUUCAGUAGAGAAGAAAAGCCUAGGGUUAAUACCCCUGAGUCUUGACGUAACCUACAGAAGAAGCACCGGCUAACUCCGUG
rnacentral:rRNA from 1 species